UGGGGGAUAUUGCACAAUGGGCGAAAGCCUGAUGCAGCGACGCCGCGUGGGGGAUGAAGGCUUUCGGGUUGUAAACCUCUUUCGCUAUCGAACAAGGCCCGCUUAGGGUGGGUUGAGGGUAGGUGGAGAAGAAGCGCCGGCUAACUACGUGCCAGCAGCCGCGGUAAUACGUAGGGCGCGAGCGUUGUCCGGAAUUAUUGGGCGUAAAGGGCUUGUAGGCGGCUUGUUGCGCCUGCUGUGAAAACGCGGGGCUUAACUUCGCGCGUGCAGGGGGUACGGGCAGGCUUGAGUGUGGUAGGGGUGACUGGAAUUCCAGGUGUAGCGGUGGAAUGCGCAGAUAUCUGGAGGAACACCGAUGGCGAAGGCAGGUCACUGGGCCAUUACUGACGCUGAGGAGCGAAAGCAUGGGUAGCGAGCAGG
rnacentral:rRNA from 1 species